AUGGCCUGGGCCCCUCUGCUCCUUGCACUGUUCACCUACUGCUCAGGUUCUCUGGCCCAGUACGUGCUGACUCAGCCGCCCUCAGUGUCUGUGUCUCCAGGGCAAAACGCUCAACUCACCUGCUCAGGGAACAACAUUGGUAGGAAUUAUGUGCAGUGGUUCCAACAGAAACCUGGCAGCGCCCCCCUACUCGUGAUAUAUCGUAAUAGCAGCAGACCCUCCGGAAUCCCUGAGCGAUUCUCUGGUGCCAACUCCGGGAACACGGCCACGUUAACCAUCACCGGGGUCUAG